CCACGGUGGUUGGCACGGGAGAGGACGGCGUGCUGGCGGCGCGCCACGCGCCGUUCGACAUCGCGUUUGUCGACC
rnacentral:tRNA from 1 species